rnacentral:rRNA from 1 species
UACGAGGGGGGCGAGCGUUGUUCGGAAUUAUUGGGCGUAGAGGGUGCGUAGGCGGUUUGAUAAGUCUGAUGUGAAAUCUAUGGGCUCAACCCAUAGUCUGCAUUAGAAACUGUCGGGCUUGAGUAUGGGAGAGGUGAGUGGAAUUUCCGGUGUAGCGGUGAAAUGCGUAGAUAUCGGGAGGAACACCUGCGGUGUAGACGGCUUUCUGGACCAUUGUUGACGCUGAGACACGAAAGCGUGGGUAGCAAACAGG